rnacentral:lncRNA from 1 species
GACAAUUGCAAAUGUAUGAAACAUACCAAUAUGCAUAUCAGUUACACUACAGUUAACAAAGCUGAAUUUUUAUUUUCAUACUAUAAUUAGGAAAACAGAUCAAACACAAAUAUGAAUAUAUAAUUAUCCAUGUAGAAAGCAAUAUUGUAAUACCACUAAUUGAGAUAUGUAUAAUAAUUUACAUGAAAUAAACAUCAAAUGUAAAUCUGCUCAAAUACUCUUCUUAUGUAGUUUUUCAUUUGUUUAAGGCUUUUUUUUUUUCAAUGUUUGCUUGCUUUUGCAAGACUUGGCAAAACUUUUCUUACUUGUUUUUUCAUUCCUUAGAGAAGCAUACUCAGUUAAUUGUGUCAGACGUAUCCUAUGACUCCAUCUUUGAUUUUUGUCAUAUAUUCAACUCUGGUUUUAUUUUAUUGAUAACAAAGAGUUACUGAGGACGUUGUUGUCCUCCAAAAUGAUCCACUUCUAAUGCAUGCAAAGGCUAGUGGGUGUUUGUCCUCUUGAAGAAAGCUAAAGUAGAAAAGGAUUAUUAUUUGAGUUAUUUUGUUCACUUUAUUCUGUUUCUAAAGGUGAUGUAGUAGCAUAUUCAGCAGAUGGUGGAUACAGUACAGGUUUUGGAGCAGAGUUUUCAGCUUCAUUUAUUCUGCUAGGAACUAAAAACACCUCAUUUUCUGCCUCAAAACUGUCUUUUAACCCUGGUAAGAAGGAAAGCGCUUCAUGUGUCUCCACUGUCAUUGCGCCUUCUUUAUGUGCACUAUCUUUAUCUGGUUGAAUAUUUUGAACUUCUCUAAAAUUAUGUACAUUACUGUUAACUUCAGGAUCUACUUCACUGCAAAGUAUUCUAUUUUGGGUUUCAUGGGAACUUGUGAUACUUAAAUCUUUAGCUGUAAUGGUCUCCUCGGCAGAGCUUGCAUCAUGUAAUAUAUAUUUUUCACUUGUUCCAUUUUCCCAAGUUUGCUGCCUUUCUUUUGUGAUGCCUUUUAAGGUCAUUUGUGAGAUCUGAGUUAACAUACUAGAAUCUGUCUUGCUUUCAUCAAGCAUAUUUUUCUCUUCUUUCCCUACUAUUUUUAUCUCUAGUGCUUCAGUGCCGUCAUUUCUGGGCAAUGCAUUUGUGCUGUCAAUUCCUUUUUCGCUACUAUUGGUUAGGUGCCAAACGGCUUGACUACUAACAGGAGAAGUACUGAUAUCCUUGGGAAGUUCUAUUCUAUUUUGGUCAUGAGGCAUUUUGGUAAUUUCUACUGUUCAAUG